rnacentral:misc_RNA from 1 species
GAAAUGCGAUAAGUAAUGUGAAUUGCAGAAUUCAGUGAAUCAUCGAAUCUUUGAACGCACCUUGCGCUCCUUGGUAUUCCUUGGAGCAUGCCUGUUUGAGUAUCAUGAAAUCUUCAAAGUAAAUCUUUUGUUAACUCAAUUGGUUUCUACUUUGGUAUUGGAGGUCUUUGCAGCUUCACACCUGCUCCUCUUUGUUCAUUAGCUGGAUCUCAGUGUUAUGCUUGGUUCCACUCGGCGUGAUAAGUUAUCUAUCGCUGAGGACACUGUAAAAGGCGGCCAAGGUAAAUGCAGAUGAACCGCUUCUAAUAGUCCAUUGACUUGGACAAUACUUUUAUGAUCUGAUCUCAAAUCAGGUAGGACUACCCGCUGAACUUAAGC